rnacentral:rRNA from 1 species
AUACGUAGGGGGCGAGCGUUGUCCGGAAUGAUUGGGCGUAAAGGGCGCGUAGGCGGCCCGGUAAGUCUGGAGUGAAAGUCCUGUUUUUAAGAUGGGAAUUGCUUUGGAUACUGUCGGGCUUGAGUGCAGGAGAGGUAAGUGGAAUUCCCAGUGUAGCGGUGAAAUGCGUAGAGAUUGGGAGGAACACCAGUGGCGAAGGCGACUUACUGGACUGUAACUGACGCUGAGGCGCGAAAGUGUGGGGAGCAAACAGGAUUAGAUACCCUGGUAGUCCACGCGGUAAACGAUGAUCACUAGGUGUCCGUGGGUAUGACCCAUGGGUGCCGCAGCCAACGCAAUAAGUGAUCCACCUGGGGAGUACGUUCGCAAGAAUGAAACUCAAAGGAAUUGACGGGG